rnacentral:rRNA from 1 species
AUUGAACGCUGGCGGCAGGCCUAACACAUGCAAGUCGAGCGGAUGAAGGGAGCUUGCACCUGGAUUCAGCGGCGGACGGGUGAGUAAUGCCUAGGAAUCUGCCUGGUAGCGGGGGAUAACGUCCGGAAACGGGCGCUAAUACCGCAUACGUCCUGAGGGAGAGAGUGGGGGAUCUUCGGACCUCACGCUAUAAGAUGAGCCUAGGUCGGAUUAGCUAGUUGGUGGGGUAAAGGCCUACCAAGGCGGCGAUCCGUAACUGGUCUGAGAGGAUGAUCAGUCACACUGGAGCUGGGACACGGUACAGACUCCGAGGGGAGGCAGAGGUGGGGAAGAUUGGAAGAUGGGCGGAAGCCUGAUCCAGCCAUGCCAGGUGGAUGAAGAAGGGCUUCGGAUGGUAUAGCACUUUAAGUUGGGAGGAAGGGUAGUAAGAUAGUAGCUUGCUGUUGUGACGGUACCAACAGAAUAAGCACCGGCUAACUUCGUG